rnacentral:tRNA from 1 species
GCCUUUGUAGCUCAGUGGAAGAGCUUAUGACUUUUAAUCAUACGGUCCAGGGUUCGAGCCCCUGCAUCGGCU